UACGUCUCUACUGUUCCGCGUCCUCCACCCCGGAGCCCCUGGUGACUAUGUCACAGCCUCUGUUGCCUUAUGAUCUGCAGGGAGACGCACAGCCAGGACAUCCUGGAACCUGGAAAAGGAAGGCAUUGAGACAUACUACUGGGCCUAGCACUAAGAUGAUGUGAGUCCUCUGCCUGAAUCCUGACUACAGGGAGCAUUGUGACAUACUUCUUGACCCAUUACAAUCUCUCCUGUAGACCAAGCUCAGGUGGAAUUGUGACAUAUAACUUGACGAAGCACGCAGAUGUAAUGAUGACUCUCACCUCAAAGAAGCCAGUAGGAGAGAUAAUGUUGCUCAUAGCUACAUUUAGGAAAACAAAGAAGAUCCUGGGUCUUCUUUCUGUACAAAAGUCAUAGAGAAUUACCACUCUCUCACAUCUGUAAAGCCCUAGUGUGUUACAGAGAAUGUCAUAACAGAGUCCCCCAUGCAGAUGAGUUUGCAUUUGUCCUAUGCACAGCCCACCAACCUUUAGAAUUGUCACCCUCACACAUGGACAGAGCCCACUGGGUGAGGUCCUGAAUCUCACAUGAAUGCACUCCACAGUUGGAACUUUGACUUUCAUAUGUGAACAUCUGGCCGCAGUUGAGAUGGUGACUCAUUUCUAAACCUAGCUCAUAGGAAGGUGAGGACUCUAUUAUCUGGACUCAGCCAAUUAGAGAGAUGUUGACUCUGGGCUUAGAACCAUAGAAAAGUUCUGGAUUUCCUUCUUGUAUGAAGGUCGCAGAGGAUCACCACUGUUGCCUAUUGUAUGAAGCCCUCAGGUGACACAGAGAAUGUCAUAGGAGUACACAGCACACAGGUGGAUAGUGUCUCUUGCAUGCACACUCAGACAACAGUAAAGACUGUCAUUCUCCCACACAAACAUAUCCCACUGUUGAGGUUCUGAAUCUCAAAUAUGGAGUCUGUUGAUAGUUGCAGAACUUAGUCUCAUAUAUGGGCCUGGUCAACAGGUGGACUGGUGACUCUCAGACCAAAUUUCAGCACACAUGUGAGGCUGUGACUGCGCUGACAGAACGCAGUCUGCAGAAGAUACUAUGGCUCUCUUGCAAAAAUUCUGUCAGCUAUUGAGAUUGUUACUCAUGUACUUAGACCCAACAUACAGGAAGUGUUGACUCCCAUAUCUAGAACGUGGACACGUAUGGAAUUUCUAAUCUCAUUCCUGGACUUUCUUUCAGGUGUGAUUGAAUGUGUCUGCUAAGCGUUUUAAUGAUUUGACUUUUCUGCCUUAGCCCAGCCCACAGAUGAGAUUGUGACAUAUCUCUUGACUCUGCACCUCAAAGAAGUGACUCUUUUCCCAGCCUUGGUGUUGCCCUCAGGUGGCAUUGUGACAUACGGCUGGGCCUUCCACUUAGGUGAUGGGAGUCUUUUUUUCUUGCCUUGGUGCUGUGCACAAGUUGCAUUGUGACAUAUUGCUAAGAUCUGCACUCAGGUUAUGUGAAUUAGCUUUCUUUUCCUAAGCCCUGAAUAUUUUGCAAGUUAGGACGUAUUACUAGCCCCAACACCUAUAAAAGGGGAGGCUUCUGCUUGGGCCCUUUGUACAGAGGGCCUUGUGACAUAUCUCUGCAUCAAUCAUCUAGGAGAUGUGACUCUCCAUUUUUGCCUAGCUCUGCCCACAGAAAAAAUUGUGAGUUAUCACUAGGCCCAGGUACCAGACAAUGUGUCUUUCCUGCAUGGCCCUUUACCAUAGAAAGCAUUGUUACCUAUUGCUGGGCUCAGCACCUGCUGCCUGUCCUGCUUUCAGGAGAAGGUUAUAACAUAUUCCUGGCUGAGUAUUAAAGUGAUGUGACACUCCUGUCUGGUCCCUGCCCUCAGUAAAGAUUGUGAUGUAUUCUUGGCCAAAAACCCAGGUGAUGUGACUCUCCUCCUCACUGCCUGUUCACAGGUGGGAUUGUAAAAUACAUUUUGGUCUAGCCCACAGGUGCAAUGGUGACUCUCAUACCUCAAACCAUCUAAUAGGAGAGGUGCUGUCUUUUAUAGCUAGGCCUAGGGUAAUGAUUAAGAUCCUUGGUCUCCUUUUUUGUACAAAGUCAUACGAAAUUACCACUUUCUUGUAUACUAUAUACAUCUCUUGUGGUACAGUGUCAUUCCAGGUUUCAGCACACAGGUGAGAUUGUGGUUCUCAUGUGCACACCCCACCAAUUGUUAGAAUUGUCACCAUAAUACAAUCCACAGUUAAAAUUGUGACUGUCAUAUGUGAACAUCCAGCCAGAGUUGGAAUGAUGACUUAUUUCUAAAUCCAGUUCUUUAGCAGGUAAAAAUUCUAUCUGGACCCAUGAAUAAUUUACCUGGGCUUAGGGCCAGAGUAAACACAGUUUACAGGAGGAAUGAAGGCUCUCAUGCACCAAUCCAGUUCACUGGUGAGAUUGUCAGUACUGUACUUUGACCCAACAUAGAAAAUGUGGUGAUUCUCAUACCUAGAACUGGGACCUGUGCGGGAUUGUUAAUUCAUUACUGGACUUUCCUGCGGGAGUGAUUAUUACAUAUGCCUGUGUUCAGUACCUGAGUGAUUUGAUUUUGCUGCCUGGUCCCAGUCUGAAGGUAAGAUUGUGAUUUAUCACUGGAUCCAGCACCUCGGUGAUUUGACUCUCUUCUUUUUUUUGGGACCCCACAAAUUUUAAGUAUUGUCAAUUUUGGGUGAAUCCUGCACCCAUGUUAUGUUACUCUCCCAAAUGUGCCUUACAUAUUGUGCCAUAUUGGGGCUCAAUAUAUCUAUCACAUUAGACAUUGUUACAUAUUGCUGGGUUCAACACCCAGGUGAUGUAACUUUUUUCUUUUUCUGGGACUGCCUGUAGGGGACCUUGUGACAUAACUCAAUGUCCAUCACCAUACUGAUGUUACUCUCUUCUCCUGCCUGGUCUCUGCUCACAGAGAAAUUGUGACAGAUUACUGGCCUAGCAUCUAGGUGAUGUGACUCUCCUCUUUUUUUCAGGCUCUGCAUAUUUGGGUAUUGUGACAUAUUGCUGAACUCAACACCUAAGGGAUGAGAGUCUCCUACCUGUGCCCUUCCUACAGGGGGCAUUGUGACAUGUCUCUGCAUUCCUCACCUAGGAGAUGUGACUCUCAUCUUCUGCUUGCACCCUGCCUACAUGGAAAGCUGUGGCAUAUUGCUGUGGUCAGCAACCAGAUGAUGUGUUUCUCUUGCCUGGGUCUUUAUUACAGGAAAGAUGGUUGACAUAUUACUGGGCCCAGCAUCCAGGUGUUGUGAGUCUCAUAUUCUGCCUGGUCCCUGCUUAUUGCUACACCCAGCACCUAGCUUAUGUGACUCUUCUCUUCUUUUAGGUUUUGCCUUCAGGGGACAUUGUGACAUUGCUGGGCCCUGCAUUGACAAUUUGUGACUCUUCUGCCUGUGAUUUGCACACUUGGGCCAUUGUACAUAUUACUGGGUUCGACAUUCAGGGGAUGUAAUUUUUAUGCCUGGGCCUUGCCUAUAGGCAGCAUUUUGAAAUGUCUUUGUGGCCGGGUGUGGUGACUCAUGCCUGUAAUCCCAGCACUUUGGGAGGCUGAGGGAAGCGGAUUACAAAGUCAGGAGUACAAGACUAGCCUGCUUAAUAUUGUGAAACCCUGUCUCUACUAAAAAACAAAAUACAAAAAGCAGCCAGCCAUGGUGACCGGUGCCUGUAGUCCCAGCUACUCGAGAGGCUGAGGCAGGAGAAUUGGUUGAAUUUGGGAGGUGGAGGUUGCAGUGAGCCAACAUCGUGCCACUGCACUCCUGCCUGGGUGAUAGAGUGAGAUUCCAUCCACCCCCCCCCCAAAAAAAACAAAACAAAAAAAACAAACAAGAAUGACUGAAUGUCUUUACACCAAUCCCAAAGGUGAUGUGACUCUCUUGUGUUACCUGGUCUCUGCUCACAGGAAGAAUCGUGACCUUUCACAGCAUAUGGUUGAUUUUUUUCUUUUAUUUCUUACUUUUUCCUGCAGGAAAGAUUGUGAAAUAUUACUGAACUAAGUACCAAAGAGAUAUUACUUUUUUUCUUGGACCUUCCUGCAUAAUACAUUGUGACAUAUUGCUGCGCCCUGCCCCUAGAUGAUAUGAGUUUUCUGCCCAUCAACUAUUUUAUGUGACUCUCCUCUUUUAUCUUUGCUUUCUCCAUAGGUUAGAUUGCAAUAUAUCUUUGGGCCUGGGUCAUGCUAACAGAAGUGACAGUGACUUAUUACUGUGCAUAGCCCACAGGGUUGUGAUACUCCUGCUUGAUUCCUGCCCAAGUGGUCAUUUUGACAUAUCUCUUGGCCAGUCGCUUAAAUGAUAGGUCUCUCCUUAUCUUUCUGGACCUGUCCACAGUAGGAAAUGUGACAUAUCUCUGGGCCCAGCACCUAUGAGAUGUGACUCUCCACUCAUGCCAAGGCCUUGCCUACUGUAGUGAUUGUGCCAUAUAGCUGGGCCCAGUUCCUAUGUUAUCUGACUGUCGUUUUCUUCCUGAGCCCUACGAAAAGAUAGCAUUAUAACAUCUUUCUGAGCGUUUUACCAAGGUGAUGUGACUUUUCUUCCUGGGUUGUCCUCUCAGGGUAUUGUGACAUGUUGCUGGAUGCAGCAUUUAGGUGAUGUGACUUCCUCUACUGCUUGGACUCUGACCAAAAACGGAUUGUGAUGUAUCACUUGGCCCAGCACCUAUGUGAUGGGACUCUUUUCUCUUGUCUGGGCCCUACAAACAUUUUGCAUUGUGACAUAUAGCUGGGUCUGCCACCCAGGUGAUGUGAGUCUUCUACAUAAGCCCUGACCACAAGAGUAUUAUGAAAUAUCUUUUCAUUCAUCACCUAGGUAGUGAUGUGACUCUUCGUCAGCCUCUACCCUGCCAUAAGGGAAUUGUGAUGUAUCACUGGACCCAGCACCUAGAUGAUGUAACUCAUAUUUUGACUGGACCUUGCAUAUUUUGCAUAUUGUUACAUAUCUUUGGGUCUGACAUUAGGGGUUGGGAAGCUCCUCCUGGCCCUGCCCACAGGUGGCCUUGUGACAUAUUUUGGAUCCAUAUCCUAUGAAAUGUGACUGUCCUCGCCUACAUGCUUCAUGCACAAAGAAAAGAUUGUAACAUAUCACUGGGAUCAGCCAUCAGGUGUGUGUCUCACCUCUCAGGGUGUUGCUCACUGAGAGUUUUGUAACAUAUCACUGGGCCCGGCACCCAGAUGAUGUGACUUGUGGCCUGUGCUCAUCUUUUCUUUCUUUUCUUUUUUUUCUGGACAGCCAUGUUGGAGUGCAGUGAUAUGAUCUUGGCCCACUGCAACCUCCAUCUCCUGGGUUCUAGCGGUUCUCCUGCCUUAGCCUCCCAAGUAGCUGGGAUUACAGGCAUGCAUCACCACACUGGGCUUAUUUUUGUAUUUUUAGCAGAGGUGGGACUUCACCAUGCUGGCUAGCGUGGUCUCGAACUCCUGACCUCAGUUGAUCCACUUGCCUUGGUCUCCCAAAGUGGUGGGAUUGCUGGCAUGAGCCACUGCACCCAGUCUGCCUGCCACCUGCAGCCAUCUUAUAGAAAUAGAUUUUAAUGCAUCCCUGACCAAGUACCUAGGUGACGUGAUAUGACUCUCCUGUCCAGUUCUUUCCUCCAAAAAAGAUUGUAACUUCUUUAGACAAGCCCCAGGUGAUGUGACUCUUCUGCUCACUCUCUACUCACUGAUGUAAUUGUGACAUAUGUCUUGCCCCAGCUUGCAGUUGCUAUGAUGAUUCUCAGACCUUGAACCAGACAAUAAAAGAGUUACUCUCUCUCCUAGCUAGGCUUAGGAAAACAAACACGAUCCUUAGUCUCCUCUUUCUGCCAAGGUCAUAGAGAAUUACCACUCUCUCACAUAUUGUAUGUGAGACAUACAACAUUUUGCAUAAAGCCCUCGGGUGGCACAGACAGUGUCAUCAAGGAGCAAAAUCACAGAUGAUAUUGUGUUACUUUUUUUUUUUUGGAGACAGAGUCUCGCUCUGUCACCCAGGCUGGACUGCAGUGGCACACUCUCGGCUAACUGCAGUCUUAGUCACCUGAGUAGCUGAGACUACAGGCAUGUACCAGGAAGCACAACUAUUUUUUGUAUUUUUAGUACAGAUGGGGUUUCACUAUGUUGGCCAGGCUGGUCUAGAACUCCUGACCUCAGGUGAUCUGCUGGCCUCAGGCUCGGAAAGUGCUGGUAUUACAGGCGUGAGCCACUGCGCCUGGCUCCCAGCUUCUUUUUUGUACGUAUAUAUUUAUUUAUAUUUUGAGAUGAAGUAUUGCGUUGUUGCCCAGGCUGGAGUGCAGUAGCAUGAUCUGGGCCCACUGCAACCUUUACCUCCCGGGUUGAAGCAAUUCUCUGUCUCAGUCUCCUGAGUAGCUGGGAUUACAGGCGCCCGCCACUGUGCCCGGCUACUUUUUGUAUUUUUAGUACAGCCGGUGUUUCACUACCUUUGUCAGGCUGGCUUGGAACUUCUGACCUCGUGAUCUGCCCGCCUAGGCCUCCCAAAGUGGUGGGAUUACAGACGUGAGCCACUGGACCCGGCCUGAUUUUCUCUUGAACAAUAAUUUUAUGUAUUGUUAAUAUACAUAAAAUAUUUUAGUUCACAUUUUGAAUACAUUGAAAAAAAGAGAAAAAAGAGAAUUUCCCCAUGUUCUGGGGUGGGCCUGGCUCAGUUCAGGGAGGAAGUCCUCCCUGAAAAGGCUGCAACUUAGGCUAUCACUGUUGUGUUAGGCUGAUCACAUCUUGUGUCACUCAGGGCCUGAGAAGGUGGGGUCUUGAACGAUAUCCAAUCAGCGAUGUGGGACUGGAAACUGUCCAAUCACACACAAAACUGGAGCAAACAGGGCGACUUCCGGGAUGUAGGGGGUUACUGUGUUUCUAGCGGCAGAUGGCGCUCCAGGUCUCAUCUUCACUGCUCUGUGUCCUCUGACUUAGAGCCCCAGCCUGUGUGGCCCUGCGACCUGCAGGUACUGGAGAUCCACAGCAAAGACGCCAGGACCCGCUGAAAGCCUAGAAAUGGCCAGAAGAACUGAAAAAGACACAGGCUCUUCCACUUACUGGAUGUUUGACAAAAUGAUCUUUUGGGGCCAAAACAUUGGCAUUACUGGGACUGUUGACAUUUAGGGAUGUGGCCACAGAAUUCUCUCUGGAGGAGUGGCAGUGCCUGGACACUGCACAGCAGAAUUUAUAGAGGAAUGUUAUGAAAACCUGGCCUUCCUGGGUAUUGCUGUCUCUAAGCCAGAGCUGAUCACCUAUCUGGAGUAAGAAAAAGAGCCCUGGAAUAUGAAGUGACAUGAGAUGGUGGAUGAACCCCCAGGUAUAUGCCCUCAUUUUGCUUAAGACCUCUGGCCAGAGCAGGGCAUGGAAGAUUCGUUUUAAAAAGUAAUACUGAGAAGAUAUGAAACAUGUGGACAUGAUAAUUUACUGUUGAGAAAUGGCUGUAAAAGUGUGGAUGAGUGUCAGGUGCACAAAGAAGGUUACAAUGGACUUAACAAGUGUUUCACAACUACUCAGAGCAAAGUAUUUCAAUGUGGUAAAUGUUUGAAAGUCUUUUAUAAAUUUUUAAAUUCAAACAAAAGAUAAGAUAUACUGGAAGAAAACCUUUCAAAUGUAAAAAAUGUGUCAAAUCAUUUUGCAUGCUCUCACACAAAACCCAACAUAAAAGCAUUUAUACUAGAGAGAAGUCCUACAAAUGUAAAAAAUGUGGAAAAACCUUGAAUUGGUCCUCAAUCCUUACUAAUAAUAAGAAAAUUCAUACUGAACAGAAACCUUACAAAUGUGAAGAAUGUGGCAAAGCUUUUAGGCAACACUCAACCGUUACUACAUAUAAAGUAAUUUAUGCUGAAGAAAAACUUUACAAAUGUGAAGAAUGUGGCAAAGCCUUUUGCCAGUCCUCAACCCCAGCUAGAUAUAAGAGGAUGCACAGAAGAGAGAAACUCUACAAAUGUGAAGAAUGUGGCAAUGCAUUUACCCAGUUCUCAACCCUUACUAAACAUAACAGAAUUCAUACUAGAGGGAAACAUUGCAAGUGUGAAGAAAGUGGCAAAGCAUUUAUCUGUUCCUCAGGCCUUACUGAACAUAGGAGAGUUCAUACUAGACAGAAACCCUACAAAUGUGAAGAACGUGGUGAAGCAUUCAUUCAAUUCUCAACCCUAACUAGACAUAAGAGGAUACACACUGGAGAGAAACCCAACAAAUGUGAAGUAUGUGGCAAACCUUUUAGCCAAAACUCAAACCUUACUAUACAUAAGAUAAUUCAUACUGAAAAGAAACCCUGCAAAUAUCAAGAAUGUGGCAAUGCUUUUAGCCAGUCCCUACACCUUACUACACAUAAGGUAAUUCAUACUGGAGAGAGAGCCUACAAAUAUGAAGAAGGUGGCAAAGCAUUUCUAUGGUUCACUACCCUAACUGAUCAUAAGAGGAUGCACACUGGAGAGAAACCCUACAAAUGUGAAGAACAUGACAAUUGGCUUUUAGCCAAUAAUCAAUCCUUACUAGACAUACGAUAAUUCAUACUGGAGAGAAACCCUACAAAUGUGAAGAAUGUGGCGAAGCUUUCAGCCAAUCCUUAACCCUUAGUACACAUAAGAGAAUACUGGAGAGAAACCCUACAAAUGUGAGGAAGGUGGCAAAUCUUUUAACCUGUCUUCAAGCUUUACUAAACAUAAGGUAAUUCAUAGUGGAGUAAAAUCCUACAAGUCUGAAGAAUGUGGCAAAGUCUUUAGGCAGUCUUCAAUUUUUGCUAACCAUAAGAGAAUUCAUACUGGAAAGAAACCCUACAAAUAUGAAGAAUGUGACAAAUCUUUUAACCUGUCUUCAAGCUUUACUUAACAUAAGGUAAUUCUUACUGGUUUAAAACCCUUCAAAUAUGAAGAAUGUGCCAAUGCCUUUUCCUGGUCCUCAGCCCUAACUAAACAUAAGAAAAUUUGUACUUGAAAGCAACCCUACAAAUGGAAAAAAUUUGGCAAAGCCUUUAAUCCUUACAACUUAAUACACAUAAGAUAACUUACAUUGAAGAGAAAUAUUACAAGUGUGAAUAAUGUGUCAAAGCCUAUAAAAAGUCCUCAAUUCUUAACAGACAUAAGAUUAUUUAUACUGGAGAGAAACUUUACAAACCUGAAAGAUGUGCCAAUGCUUUUGACAACAACUUAAGCUUUUCUAAACAUAAAGAAAAUCAUGCUGCUGAGAAUCCUAGAAGUGUGUAGAAUGUGACAAAGCCUCUAAAUGAUUGUCACACUUGAUUGUAGGUAAGAUAAUUCAUACUGGAGAUAACUAUCAGUGUGAACAAUGUGGCCAAGCUUCUAACUAAUGCUCACACGUUAUUGCACAGGAAAGCAUGUAUAAGCAUUUACACUUGAGAACAAAUGUGCAAAUACAGACAAAGUAAAAAAGCCAUUAAUACCUGCUCACAUCUUACUCAAAGUCGAUAGUUCAUAAACUAUCAUAGUUCAUAAAUUAUCAUAAAAAAUUCAGAUAGUUCAUAAACUAUUAGAUAGUUCAUAAACUAUCAUAGUUCAUAAAUUAUCAUAAAAAGUCAGAUAAAAGCAUAAAAGUGUAAUUACUGUCAAAAGAUCUAUUAGAAAAUAUGUCUUUAAAGUGCAAAAGAGUAUUUACUUUAAAAAAGCAUUACAAAUAUAAAUAGGGUUGUAAUAUCUUUAUUUGUAUCAGAAAUCUUAUUGUACACAUUUUGUGCUAGAGGAAAACCCUGAGGCAGUUGUUAAAAUUUUCUCCAAUAUCAGCGAGUUUAUAUUGAAGAAAACCCUGCAAAUAUAAUAAAUUUGGAAAAACAUUUUUUCAAAAACUACAAAUUAUAAAACACCAAAGAGUUUAUACUAAAAUAUAUUUUUGCAGGUGCAGUAAAUAUGAAAGAUAUUUAAUCCCAAAUUGUCUAUGUGAAUAUCAGAAUAAUCCACAGUAGAAAUAUCUAGGGCCACUCAAUGUUUAGACACUACAGUAAAUCAGAGUGCUGAGUAUAAAAAUAAUACAAAACUAAAGAUUGUGUAAACAUUAUUUGUAUAUAACUUUAAAAGAAGUAGAAUAUUUUCUGGAGAGUUAUAAUUACAUUCAAAUUAUACUUUUUAUGAAAAUACAGGUCUUUUUCAAAGUGAAUAAUAAUAGAGUUAAACUCAAAUUACUUCAUGCUGUUCCAUCAUUCCUGGUUUAUUCAAAUGUGAAAGCAUCUGACUAAUUGUUGUUGGACAAAAUAUAUGAGAGAUUCUUGUUUAUUAGGUAAGCAUUACUUAUGACCUUUUCUAUGGAAAGGUAAGGACAUUAAAAUGUAAGACGCAUAAUGAAAAUUUAAGUAGAGAGGCUCUUUGUGGUUAACUUAUAAUAUUGAAUGAUACAUGAGGUAGGUGUUCAGAGUAAUACUCUUCUGCAUUAUUAUGAAAGAAAAAUAUUCUUAAUUUUAGUUAAAAUUAGGUUAGUAAUGUUAUUUUAUUGUACUUUUAUGGAAUACUAUACAGUAUAUUUUUAAAUUAUAAAUUUUGUGUGAAAUUAACUUUUCAAUUCCACAUUUUUAACAUGUUAAAUACUAUCAUGAAUCCAUUGAAAUGUUAUUGUGCCACUAACUUUAACCUAUUCCAUCUUACAUAAGGGUGUAGGUAACAAUACAUUAUUUGGUAAGAUAAUGGACUGACAUCGCCAGUAAUCUUUUUUGCCAGUAACUUUAAAUGGCCCAUAAGUUAAAAAAUAUUGUUCCUAUAGGUUAUAUUUUUAUUAUUUUCACAUUUAGAUGUAUUUUUCUUAAUUUCUGUGGAUAUAUGUUUAUAUGUUUAUGCCAUAUAUGGCAUAUUUUAAUACAGGAAUACAAAAUAUGAUAAUCACAUUAGAGGAAAUGAGAUGUCCGUUACCUCUAGCAUUUAUUCUUUGUAUUACAAGCAAUUCAAUUCUACAGUUUUAGUUAUUUUUAAUGUACAAUUAAAUUGUUAUUGACUGCAGGGUCAUUUUUAUCACCAUAAUACAAAUUAUAUACACACAUAUGUAAAAUCCAUACAUUUCUUCAUCCUGAAUAAAUAUGUUUAUAAAUUUU